rnacentral:tRNA from 1 species
UCUAAUAUGGCAGAAUAGUGCAAUGAUCUUAAACUUCAUAUAUAAAGAAAACUUUUUUUAGAA